AGCAAAAUCCUUUUUCUUUCCUCUCCCAACGAAACAAUACCUAAACUUCAUAAUUCUUAUAAAUCCGAAGUUAGGCGGCGGCGUUCUUUCAAGCUUGACAUUGCAAAUGCCUAUAACCAGGUUUCCUGGCAUUUUCUUCAAAAGAUUAUGACCAAGACGUGUUUCCCUGCUCAUUGGAUUCAUGUUAUUAUGCAAUGUAUUAGCACAGUAUCUUAUCAGAUAAUUUUCAAUGGGUCUCCAUCUGGCGGCAUUUUACCUGCACAAGGCAGAAAAUUUUGGUUGGUGGCAGGGUAUUCAAAUUUCUAAUGAUGAUAUUCCCAUCGAACACGCCACAUAUUUGCUGGUGAUACCCUGUUAUUUUGCAGAGUCACUGUAGAAGACUGUAAAAUCAUGCUGGCUCUACUUCACAGGAUCAAAGUUUUUCUCUGGAAGAUUGCCUGGAACAGACUGCCUUCAAGUGCUUUCUUAAAAUCUUAUCACUUGCAAGUUUUAGAAGUUUUGUGUUUUAUGUAAUGAGAACAUUGAAACUUAAUCUCAUCUAUUUUUACAUUGUAGUUUUGCGAAAGCAUGUUGGUUUGGCAGUCCUUUAAACUCAAGAGUUGAUUUGUACCCCGAUUAGGGAAUCAAACAACGGUUAACAUUUUGGA